rnacentral:lncRNA from 1 species
UACAAAUGAGAAAACACAGCUAAUCAGAGAAGGAUCUCGAAGUUACUGCACAGACUCUUGAUGAUGGGCUCAUGGAGGGUCCACAGCUCCUCUUUUUGGUUCAGCCGUGUCUCUGGGUUGUCAUGAGGGAGGUGCAAACAUGAAAUGCUGUGAACAUAUUCACAUUUGUAUUUUAUUUUUAGGUUAAGGGGAAGAUGAUUGCUACAUAAUUUUCUCAGACUUUCUCUUUGAGUAGAAUCCUAAUGAAAAGCAUUCAGUUUAUGAA